rnacentral:rRNA from 1 species
CCUACGGGGGGCAGCAGUCGAGAAUCAUUCACAAUGGGGGAAACCCUGAUGGUGCGACGCCGCGUGGGGGAAUGAAGGUCUUCGGAUUGUAAACCCCUGUCAUGUGGGAGCAAAUUAAAAAGAUAGUACCACAAGAGGAAGAGACGGCUAACUCUGUGCCAGCAGCCGCGGUAAUACAGAGGUCUCAAGCGUUGUUAGGAAUCACUGGUCGUAAAGCGUGCGUAGGCUGUUGGGUAAGUCGUGUGUGAAAGGCCGGGGCUCAAACCGCGGACGGCACAUGAUACUGCGAGGCUAGAGUAAUGGUGGGGGAGCCGGAAUUCUCGGUGUAGCAGUGAAAUGCGUAGAUAUC